UCGAGGUCAUAAUCUUCUUCUUUUAUAAGGACUAAGAGAAGAAAUUGUGCUGUUAUCCCUACGGUAGCUUGGUGGAAUCUCAGUUUAAGGAUAAGAGGAGGGAGGGAGAAUAAAGAUUUGGUUUUUUACCGCCCCAGUAAAACAGAAGUAAAGUUCGAUAGGGUCUUGUCGUCCUUCUUAUAUAUACAAGUUUUUUUACUUGAGUGAAAAGUUAGAAAAGUUAAGGUAAUAAAGAAAUUUAUAUGUCAGACCUUUCAUUCUAGCCUCUAAUUAGAAGGCAAAUGAUUAUGCUACCUUAGCACAAGUUAAUUGCGGCUAUUUAAAGAUCAUUGAGCAGGUCCUACUGAAUAUUAGUUCAUUCAGAAAUGUUUUUGAUAAACAGACAAUAAAGAUUGGCCGAGUUCAUGCACCUUGAUUUAAAUAAAUUGUGACAUGAUGCUAUUUAAAGGAGUAGGUUGAGCUAUAUUUUACUAAUAAAAUCAUUAUGGAAAUUUUUAGGAGGUUUUCCUUUAGCAAGGUUUGGCAAAUAUAAAGGAUAAGUUUGAAAACUAUGGGGACACUAUUAAUCCUUAACUUUGUAGGGUUGGGGAAAUGAGACUUGUUUAAAAGAUUAUCCCUUUAAAAAUUCUAGUACUCUUACUUUAAAGAAAAACCAGAUAUUAUGGAAUGCGGGUGGAAUUUCAUCUCUAUUUUCCCUUUUAAAAGUUUUAUGCUACAAACUUGGGCAGAAGAAAAUAGAUCAUUUCAAUUUCGGGAGCAUUUUUUAAAAAGUUAGGGUUGAACUUCCCUGAUACAAAAGGUACAUUUCUUUUCUAUAUAGCGAAUAAUUGAUUUCCCCUCACGGUGGUAGCAGAAAGGGUAAAAACAUUAAGUAAUGAAAUAUUUUUUUAUAUAAAGAUUGAAAUGGGUGGUU
rnacentral:rRNA from 1 species